rnacentral:rRNA from 1 species
CCUACGGGUGGCAGCAGUGGGGGAUAUUGCACAAUGGGGGAAACCCUGAUGCAGCGACGCCGCGUGUGGGAAGACGGUCCUCUGGAUUGUAAACCACUGUCCCCAGGGACGAAGAUGACGGUACCUGGGGAGGAAGCUCCGGCUAACUACGUGCCAGCAGCCGCGGUAAUACGUAGGGAGCGAGCGUUUUCCGGAUUUACUGGGGGUAAAGGGAUCGUAGGCGGGGAUGAAGGUUGGGUGGCAAAACUUCGGGCUAAACGGGUAGUUGGACUCAAAACUGCAGCUCUUGAGUGAAGUAGAGGCAGGCGGAAGUCCUAGUGUAGCGGUGAAAUGCGUAGAUAUUAGGAGGAACACCAGUGGCGAAGGCGGCCUGCUGGGCUUUUACUGACGCUGAGGCUCGAAAGUGUGGGGAGCAAACAGGAUUAGAUACCCCAGUAGUC